rnacentral:rRNA from 1 species
AACGAACGCUGGCGGCAGGCCUAACACAUGCAAGUCGAACGGAGAGCCUUUGUAGCAAUACAUUGGUUUCUUAGUGGCGAACGGGUGCGUAACGCGUUGGUGACCUGCCCCAAAGUGUGGGAUAACAGUUCGAAAGGAUUGCUAAUACCGCAUGUGGUCAUCGGGUUUAGAAGCCGGUGACUAAAGCAGUAAUGCGCUUUGGGAGGGACCUGCGUCCCAUCAGCUAGUUGGUGAGGUAAUGGCCCACCAAGGCUUCGACGGGUAGGGGACCUGAGAGGGUGGUCCCCCACACUGGCACUGAAACACGGGCCAGACACCUACGGGUGGCUG